GGGUCUGUAGCUCAGGUGGUUAGAGCGCACCCCUGAUAAGGGUGAGGUCGGUGGUUCGAGUCUACCCAGACCCA
rnacentral:tRNA from 1 species